ACAUUUCCAACGGCCACAGCCGUGCUGGCAGCAGGUGGUACUGGAGGCAGCAGAGGUUUAAGCAGAAAAAGUGUAUGUAUUUCCAUCUCAGUGAGCAGAGAGCCUACACCAGUGAAUGCCUGGAAGAGAAAAUCUGAUCAUUCAAUGCACCAUAGUUAUGCUUUAAAGGUUUCAGAAGAUGAACUGCAAUUGCAUAGUGUGGGGAUUCUUUUGGCUCAUUGUGCUGUUCUUUCUCGGCUGGCCCAUAAGCAUAGCCUUGUGUGCCCUCCAUGGAUUCCUUUCUCCUCUUGCUACUUUAAUUGGACUGGAUGAAUUAAGUGAAGCGCUACUGAAGGGCGCAAGUCUGGGGAGGCAGUGUGCUCAGAAUGUGCGUAAUGGCAAGCCCCUCUGUUAAGCAAUGAAGACAGCCCUGCAUAAAGCAAGCGUUCACCUGUAUGCUAGAAGAUUUCAAAGUUUACUCUGUGAAUCUUACAUUUUUUUCCAGUUCUAAAUAAUUUACUAUUUUUAAAAAAGUUUUUCAGUGUGUAUAUUUCUCUUGUGGAUGUCUGGAAACUUUAACAGUUCAGAAGUUUGUCGCUGAGAAUUUACAAUACAGGUUGCAGCUGUUGUUUUGAAAAUGGGUAAUGACACUGUACAUGGAGAAGGUAGCUAAGUAUGUAUUGCAAGAUUGAGCUGAGUGUCAAAGCUGCUUAAAUGGUUGAAAAUACUGCCCUAAGGAGUGUAAUGCACCUUAUGAGUCUGACUAUGACACUUGAAAAGAGUGGAUUCUGAACAGGAAAUUUAUUUUUGUGAAUAUUUUAUUCUACAGUGCACUUUGUUUGACAAAAGAUGUGAAAUUCUUAUCUGAUGUUUGUAUAGCAUGUAUCUUUUCAUUUUUAUGUGUUUCUGUUCUUUCUUUCCUUUAAAAAAGAAAUUAUAGUCAUUUGUACUAUGAUCUCACUUAGUAUUAAUCUCCUGUGAACAGUGGGUUUUCAGUGAAACAAGUUUGCUGAUGUGGGUUCACUGCACUGAUUUUCAAACAUUAGAUAAAUAAAGAACAUCUGUAAAUGUACUUUCUGAAGCUUUUGUUUGUUUGUUUUUGUUUUGUUUGUUUUGUUUGUUUGUUUGUUUUUUGUUUUUUGUGGCCCAUGUCUGCCAGUUGUUAUCCUUUUAUUAUAGGUAAUAUGCUUUCUUGCUUCAAAAGGUAUUGCAUAGACUAUAGUGACCAGCUGACAGUGUGACCGUGAUUUUACAUUUUUCUAUGUAUUUCCAGAAGUAUUAUAAAGUGAUAGAACGUAGAGGGCAGCUUAAAGAGUUUUGAGUAAUGCCAUGGAUCUCUGUGGCAUCUAGAAACUGGCCCUGACAAUAAAAGAGAAUUU
ensembl:lncRNA